AAAACAAGAGAAUUUCCUCUAUUGUCCUUGACAAAUUUCGGACAAAGGAUUUUUCUGUGGCUAGCGUCUUUUCUUUCG